UUGGGGUUUACGAUAUCAAAUGGGUACAAGUUCUAUGUUGGUGGAAAAGAUGGUUGGGUCCUUACUCCUUCCGAGGAUUAUUCUCAUUGGUCUCACCGAAACAGGUUUCAAGUCAACGACACUCUUCGUAAGUCACUUACUCUAGCUCCUCUUAUCUACUAUACAUAUACACAAUUGUGUCAAUAUUAAUGCAUAAAUAUUUUUGGUUUUUGACAAGAUUUUAAGUACAACAAGGGAAAAGAUUCAGUGUUGGAGGUGAGUGAACAAGAGUAUAACACAUGCAACACCACCCAUCCAUUGACUUCUCUCUCGGACGGGGACUCUUUCUUUCUACUUAGCCGCUCAGGUUCCUUCUUUUUCAUCAGUGGCAACUCUCAAAACUGUCUCAAAGGCCAGAAGCUAGCUGUCAAGGUCAUGUCCACCGCCCAUCACUCUCCUCGUCACACCUCUCCCUCCCCUUCUCCAUCACCUUCACUGGCUCCGGUCCAACAGGUUUUGUCGUCGCCGGGGCCUUCUCCAGGACCUGAACCAUCGUCUGAUUCAAACGAUCAUGCUCCGGCUCCAGGCCCUGUGUUGGCUCACAAUUCCGCCGGUUUGGUUGGUCCGGGGAUGGUGGUUUUUAU
rnacentral:lncRNA from 1 species